UACGGAGGGUGCGAGCGUUGUCCGGAAUCACUGGGCGUAAAGGGCGCGUAGGCGGCGCGGGUAGUCAACGGUGAAAGCUUGGGGCUCAACCCCGAGUCGGCCGUCGAUACUCCCGUGCUUGAGCACUGUAGAGGCAGGUGGAAUUCCGGGUGUAGCGGUGGAAUGCGUAGAGAUCCGGAAGAACACCGGUGGCGAAGGCGGCCUGCUGGGCAGUAGCUGACGCUGAGGCGCGCCAGCGUGGGGAGCAAACAGG
rnacentral:rRNA from 1 species